AAUGAACGUUGGCGGCGUGGAUUAGGCAUGCAAGUCGUGCGACAGGCCCGCAAGGGCGCUGAGCGGCGAAAGGGAGAGUAACGCGUAGGUUAUCUACCCUCAGGACCGGGAUAGCUACGGGAAACUGUAGGUAAUACCGGAUGAUGUCUCCGGACUAAAGGUGUGAUUCCGCCUGUGGAGGAGCCUGCGUCCUAUUAGCUAGUUGGUGGGGUAACGGCCUACCAAGGCUGAGAUGGGUACGGGGUAUGAGAGUAUGCCCCCGCUCACUGGGACUGAGACACUGCCCAGACACCUACGGGUGGCUGCAGUCGAGGAUCUUCGGCAAUGGGCGCAAGCCUGACCGAGCGACGCCGCGUGUGGGAUGAAGGCCUUCGGGUUGUAAACCACUGUCAGUGGGGAGGAAAUGCUACAGGGUUCUCUCUGUAGUUUGACCUAUCCGCAGAGGAAGUACGGGCUAAGUUCGUGCCAGCCGCCGCAGUAACAC
rnacentral:rRNA from 1 species